GCGUCGGAUUGUUCACCCGCCAACAGGGAACGUGAGCUGGGUUUAGANNNNNNGAGACAGGUUAGUUUUACCCUACUGACAAAGUAGUUGUCGCAAUAGUAAUUCAACUUAGUACGAGAGGAACCGUUGAUUCGCAUAAUUGGUAUUUACGGUUGGCUGAAAAGCCAGUGCCGUGAAGCUACCAUGCGUUGGAUUAUGGCUGAACGCCUCUAAGUCAGAAUCCAGGCUAGAACGCGACGAUGUAUUUCCUUCUCCAUGUGUUAGCUGAAUUAAGAAUAGACUUUUGUGUCCAGAAUCAAAUUUGAGAGUUACCCAUGCGUUUGGUGAAGAUCCCAGCGUAUGCACUCUGAAUAAUAAAAUCAAUAUUGGAGAGGAUAAAUCUCUUGCAGACGACUUGAAUUUAGAACUCGGUAUUGUAAGCAGUAGAGUAGCCAUGUUGCUACGAUCUGCUGAGAUUAAGCCGUUGUUCCAAGAUUUGU
rnacentral:rRNA from 1 species